GACGGAGGGCGCGAGCGUUGUUCGGAAUUACUGGGCGUAAAGCGCGCGCAGGCGGAACGGCGAGUCGGGAGUGAAAGCCCGGGGCUCAACCCCGGGAGGCCUCUCGAUACUGCCGAUCUAGGGACCGGUAGAGGCUGGUGGAAUUCCCGGUGUAGCGGUGGAAUGCGUAGAGAUCGGGAAGAACACCUGUGGCGAAGGCGGCCAGCUGGGCCGGAUCCGACGCUCAGGCGCGAAAGCGUGGGGAGCAAACAGG
rnacentral:misc_RNA from 1 species